GACUGGGUGGCUCAGUCGGUUGAGCAUCUGACUUUGGCUCAGGUCAUGAUCUCACUGUCUGUGAGUUCAAGUCCCAUAUCAGGCU
rnacentral:tRNA from 1 species